rnacentral:tRNA from 1 species
GCGACCUUAGCUCAGUUGGUAGAGCGGAGGACUGUAGUUGUCACAGAUAAUUCUUAGGUCACUGGUUCGAAUCUGGCAGGUCGGA